UAUAUCCCACCUAAAAUUCUAAAAAAACGAAAAUAUCUGUAAAUAGUGAUGAUUUCCCAAGACGUGACUAAGUUGCGUGUGAAAAUAGAGAUGUUGAUGCGAUUCUUUUGAUUGUUCAUAUAGAGUAAGGUGAACAAAGAAACUUUCUUUAUUUUUCUUCUUAUUUUUUAUAUUUUUAAAGUGGAUAAGAACUUUCACAACUUGCUUUUUCCAACAAAUAAAUAUUUCAGUCUUUAUUAUUCGGUUUCUAAAAUAGAACACUUGUACACAAAGUUGUCAUAAGAGAUUAAAUCCAAAAUGAUGAGAUAUUUGACUUGACUAACAUCAAUUAUGUUAUUAAAAGUGAAGCCCUAACUGCAAAAGAUUAAUGAUUAUCCUCAAUCUAAAAUAUUUUAUUUGUUCUUAUUUAUUUGUAUAUUUUGAAGGGAAAAAAAACUAUUUUAUGCCCGUGCAAAAGUUUAGUAAUGUGUUUGUUGUUAUUUUUCAUGUCUAACUAUAUUUAAUAUUGUAUUAAUUCACAUAAUAAGUGAAAAAAGUUAUUGACUAUAUAGAUAGAAAAUGAUAUAUUAAGAAAAAAUGUACAAUAUAAUUUAUAAAUCAACAUAAUCAUUAUAUUCCUUAAGACAAAAAUAACCCAUGCCUAACACAAAAGCCACAAUUAGUAGAUCAGACAAACUUUGAAGGUCACACUCAUCGCCAAUCCCUCGCUCAGCGGAGCUCUUUGUGUUGAGCGAAAGGAGUACCUGCGCUAAGCAUAGUUUGGCUAGCUAAAAGGUCAAAUCUGGCUAGAUGAAAUGUCGCACUCAGCAAAAUUGACUGCAUUGAGCGCAUGUUGCAGAUUUCAAACUCUUUAAAAAUGAAUCAAAUUGGGUUUGUAAUAUACACCUCGGAUAAUAUACUUGUAACUCAAAAUUUUCUUGGUUCUUAGGCUAAUUAAGCUCUAUUACAAGUGUAUGAGCAAAGAGUAAGUGCUAGAGGAUCUAAUCCAUGUUCAUUGGAGUUAUUUGGAUUUAG